GCCGAGGGGAAGCAGUGCAGCUGACAGACGUCUGGAGCGAGGAGACUGCAGGAGCGCAGGUCCACCGUCUGCAGCGAAGUACAGCGACGCAACAGAGGAAGACACUGCUCCGUCACCUUCACACAGCCUGAAACACACACACAGGUCAUCUGAGAAACACACACACAGCCUGAAACACACACACAGGUCAUCUGAGAAACACACACACAGCCUGAAACACACACACAGGUCAUCUGAGAAACACACACACAGGUCAUCUGAGAAACACACACACAGCCUGAAACACACACACAGGUCAUCUGAGAAACACACACACAGCCUGAAACACACACACAGGUCAUCUGAGAAACACACACACAGCCUGAAACACACACACAGCCUGAAACACACACACAGGUCAUCUGAGAAACACACACACAGCCUGAAACACACACACAGGUCAUCUGAGAAACACACACACAGGUCAUCUGAGAAACACACACACACAG